GUGCCUGGAGGGGACUCGCCGCCAUCUCAGGUCUCUUGGCUUUGCCAGGGCCCACCGGAGAAAACUGACGACCCGUUUCUGUAAUCCUUAUGGGAGACCAACCUUGUGCCUCCGGGAGAUCCACUCUCCCACCUGGAAACGCACGGGAAGCCAAGCCUCCAAAAAAGCGCUGCCUCCUCGCUCCGCGUUGGGAUUAUCCGGAAGGAACUCCCAACGGAGGUAGUACCACUCUACCCUCCGCACCUCCUCCUGCAUCAGCCGGCCUGAAGUCGCACCCUCCUCCUCCGGAGAAGUAGAGAAAUAAAUUUCUCCCACCCUAAACCAGUCUUUGAGUGAUUGCAGUAUGACUCCAUUUCCCUGGUGCAUUCAUAUAAUAGUUCACCUGGUGAAAACAAUGAAGAUUAUUUACAAUGCUACCCUGCUUUUUCUGGUGUCCUGAACCUGGAAGUUGUGCUUUUUAAGUCUUAUGAUGUAAUCAGCGCGAUUUCACUUCCUGAAUUUCGAUGAAUUCUAAGACAUGGGCAAGAUCGGGUUGUAAGACCUCUGAGAUUUAAGGCCAUGCCCUGGAUCAUGGUGAACUUACCAAAGCAAACAAUGCCUGUGAGAUGGUCCUGCAGCAGCCAACCAGUGAACUCUUUUGGUGACAUCCUGUUCUUGUUGUAUAACUUUAUAUUCCUAUAAAUCCAUUAAGGCCCCAAUAAAGUUUGUCUCUAAGCGCUGUGUUAGAUCUAUAUGACUACAUCUAGUAAAUUGUGAAUUUUAAGUAAAUAUUUUAUAAGAACUCCUAUGUAAAGCAUUACUAAAAUUAGUGUUGAAAUAUGACCUUCUUCCUACAUUUAUGUAUAUUCUAGAGUUAUGUUAUGCACACUUAAUAAAUUAUAGACAGUUAUUUUAAAGAUUGUAUAAUAUUACUAAUCACACAUUAGAGUUUUAAAACUUCUGAGCCAGGCUGAACAUCACAAACAGUAAACACAGACUUCUUUAAAAGGACAUCUGGUGAAAGGCAUUUUAUGCAUCAGAAGGCACAGUAUUAUAAAGAUGACAACACUCUUCAAAAUAAUCAAACUAUUCAAUGCAACCCUUAUCAAAAUUAAGGUUGCCUACUUUGAAGAAAUUUAUAACCUGAUUCUAAAGUUCAUAUGAAAAUGUAAUGGACCCAGAAUAGCCAAAACAAUCUUGAAGUAUACAAAGUUUGAAGAGUCACAUUUCCAAAUUUUAAAACUUAUUACAAAGCUACAAUAAACAAGUCUAUGUGGUACUGGCAUAGGAUAUAAAUAUUGAUCAAUGAAAUAGAAUCCAAAGUCCAGACAUAAGCCCUCACAAAAGUUAAUUUGCAGCCAAUUAACUUCUGAGAAGGAGGCAAGACAAAAGGGGAAAUAACUAUUUUCAAUAAAUGGUACUGGGACAACUUGGUAUCUACAUGCAAAAAAAAAACAAAAAAACAAAAAACUUCCACCCCUACCUCAUGCAAAAUACAAAAAUUAACUCAAAAUAGGCCAAAGACUCAAAUAUAAGGGUUACACUAUAAAACUCUUGGGAGGAAAUAUAGAAUAAAUUUUUGUGACCUUGAAUUAAGUAUUAGAUUUUUAAUUCUUACACCAAAGCACAAGUUAAUAAAGGAAAAAAAAGAUAAACUGGACAUAAUUAAAAUUGAAAAAAAAUUUGCUUCAGUGAACACAGUCAAGAAAUUUGAAAGACAGCCACAGUGCAAGAUUAUUUUUGCAAAUAAUAUGUCUCAUAAAUGACUUGUAUCUAAAAUAUAUAAGACCAGGCAUGGUGGCUCAUCCUGUAAUCCCAGCACUUUGGGAGGCUGAGGCAGGGGGAUCACUUGAGGUCAGGAGUUUGACACCAGCCUGGCCAACAUGAUGAAACCCCAUCUUUACUAAAAAUACACACACAAAAAAAAUUAGCAGGGUGUGGUGGUGUAUGCCUGUAAUCUUAGCUACUCAGGAGGCUGAGGUGGGAGGAUAGCUUGAACCUGGGAGGCAGAGGUUGCAGUGAGCCAAAAUUGCACCAAUGCACACUCCAGCCUAAGCAACAGGGCAAGACGCCAUCUCAAAAAAUAAAACAAAAUAAUAAAAUAAAAUAAACAGUAAUUACCGCUAAAUAAUAAAACAAACAAUAAACCAAUUUUAUAACGAAAGGAUCUGAAUAGAUUCUUCUGUAAAGAAGACAUACAAAUCACAAAUUACACAUGAGAAGAUGCUCAACACUAUUAGUCAUCAGGGAAAUGCAAAUCAAAAUCACAAAGAGACAGCAAUUUAUACCCAGUAGGAUACUUAUUAUUAUUAUUAUUUUAAAUAGCAAAAUAAUAAAUGUUAGAAUGUGGGAAAACAGGAACAUGCGGCAUUGUUGCUGGUAAUGAUAAAUGUGCAGCCACUGGGCAAACAAUUUUGUGGUUCCUCUCUAAGUUAAAAAUAAUGGCUGGGCGUGGUGGCUCACACCUGUAAUCCCAGCACUUUGGGAGGCUGAGGUGGAUGGAUCACCUGAGGUCAGGAAUUCGAGACUAGCCUGACCAACAUGGUGAAACCCCAUCUCUACUAAAAAAUAUAAAAAAUUAGCCCAGCUACUCAGGAGGCUGACGCAGGAGAAUCCCUUGAACCUGGGAGGCAGAGGUUGCAGUGAGCCGAGAUCCCACCACUGCACUCCAGCCUGGGCAUGACAGAGCAAGACUCCAUCUCAAAAAAAAGAAAAAAAAAAGAAAUAACAUGCUACCCAGCAAUUUUACUCCUGAUACAUAGCCAAAAUAACUAAAAAACAGGUGUUCAAACAAAAAUUGUACAGGACGGUUUACAGCAGAAAUAUUUGUACUAGGAAAAUGUGGAAACAACUCAAAUGCCCAUCAACUGGUGAAUGGAAAACAAAAUGUAUAUUCACACAAUGGAAUAUUAAUUUAGUCAUAUACAGGAAAUAAGUAUACAUACUGCCAGAAUAAACCUUGAAAGCAUUAUGCCAAAAAAAAAAAAAAGGAAAAUAAUUCUUGCCUGGUGGUCUGGGAAAAGCAAAAGCAUUAUGCUAUGUGAAAAAAGCCAGUCACACAGUACCAUAUAUUAUAUAAUUUCAUAUAAAUAAAAUGUCCACAUGAGGCAAGUCUAUAGGUUCAGAAAAAAUAUUUGCUUAAGGAUGGAGUUUCCCUUAAGUUAUGAUUGAGAAUUGAUGUCUAAGGACUGUGUGAUUUUAUUCAGGGUUAAUGAAAAUGCAU
rnacentral:lncRNA from 10 species